rnacentral:tRNA from 1 species
GGGGGCAUAGCUCAGUGGGAGAGCAUAUGCUUAGCAUGCACGAGGUCCUAGGUUCAGUCCCCAGUACCUCCA